GGCCCGGUGUCCGAGGAGCUGAUGGGAUGCCCACGCCCACGGGUGUGGUUGUCGACUCCACAGCUGCAUCCCAUUCCAGGCGAUCAUCGGGUGGACUAUUUAACCCCGCUCAGCCAGCUGCUCCACGCCAGUCCGUUAGUCACCUUUCAGCGGUAACCGUUCGGCGUGUCUUGAGCCUUCACCUGCCUGUCCUCCUGCCCGCCUGGAGUUCGGAUCACCACCGGUCAUCAUCUCCUCUGUUUCCCUGGAGCUCUCCCGCGGACCCUCACCCCUCUCUCCGGUUCCCACGGCCCAGCCCUGAUCCCUCCCACGGUCCUGUUUACGGCGUUCCCGAGUUGCUUAUCUCCCGGUCCCUUUGUUUCCCAUUUACUCGGCGUGUUUUCCUUUGACCCUUCCGGGACACCCUCAGUUACAAAUAGAGUUUAUUUUGCGUGCACCUUGGCGUAUUGUCUCUGCUUCUGGGUCCAGCUCGUGUGCUGAACUACGGUUCUUGACAGUUGUUGCAAUAUAAACUCUCUUAAGUGUUCUUCACUCAUCUUUAAACCAAUCAAGUCUAGCAGACUAGGUUGCUAGAAUCUGGAGUCCCAUCAGCUCGCCUCCUGAUCUGGUGCUUGAUUUUAAAAUCCAGUCUUCACAGCUUUCAGUAAAGCCAGUAUAUUUACAUGCUGGGACCUUCUCUUCCGUCUCCCAGUCACUGUUGGAAAAUAAAUAAAUGUUGUCACUUUUACUAACUCUACAUGGACAUUGGAGAAGUUUUCUGCACCAAGAGAUAUUCUGUUUUCCUUCAGAUUAAACAUAUUUAUUUAUUUUUACUCAAGCAUUCACCCACUACUGCUUGUUUUUUAAUCAGCAGGAUUUAGCACCCCGUGGUGAUUAGUUUAAACUUUUGACACUUCUCAAACACAUUACAUGCUGUUUUAAGGAAUUACGCCAUUCCAGCCAGAAACCAUUUGAAAAUGUUCCUGCUCUUAUUUCUGGCACCGGGAUGCCCCCCCUUUUUUUUUUAAAUCUCCACACUCCCUUUUAAAAAUCUUCUGCGCUUCUCUCUCGUCAGCUUCACUAUUCGUUUUUUAUAUGUUGGCAAGUGAUGUUUACUCAUUACUAACUGAACUUCAUCAACUUUCUCAGUACAAGCUGCCAAAUGAACACGUUGCUUAUCUCAUUUCAUCAUCUGCCUACAUUGCUGUUCCCAGUAAUAGUUGCUACAUCAAUGAGGCACUGAGGACCAUUUCUCCUUACUGUCAGUGAUAAUACAGCUGUCACAGUUCUGGGUCAGUUUUGACCCAGUAUUUUGAGUUUCUCGUGUCUUGGUUUAAUU